rnacentral:rRNA from 1 species
UACGUAGGGUGCAAGCGUUGUCCGGAAUUAUUGGGCGUAAAGAGCGUGUAGGCGGCCCGAUUAGUCCGCUGUGAAAGUCCAGGGCUCAACCCUGGAAUGCCGGUGGAUACUGUCGGGCUAGAGUCCGGAAGGGGCGAAUGGAAUUCCUGGUGUAGCGGUGAAAUGCGCAGAUAUCAGGAGGAACACCAAUGGCGAAGGCAGCUCGCUGGGACGUGACUGACGCUGAGACGCGAAAGCGUGGGGAGCAAACAGG